rnacentral:rRNA from 1 species
UGUAAAACGACGGCCAGUGAAUUGUAAUACGACUCACUAUAGGGCGAAUUGAAAUUAGCGGCCGCGAAUUCGCCCUUUAGAGUUUGAUCAUGGCUCAGAACGAACGCUGGCGGCAUGCCUAACACAUGCAAGUCGAACGAGAAGCUAUCUUCGGGUAGUGGAAAGUGGCGCACGGGUGAGUAACGCGUGGGAACCUGCCCUGAGGUUCGGAAUAACGAUUGGAAACGGUCGCUAAUACCGGAUGAGCCCUGAGGGGGAAAGAUUUAUCGCCUUGGGAGGGGCCCGCGUCCGAUUAGCUUGUUGGUGUGGUAACGGCGCACCAAGGCUUCGAUCGGUAGCUGGUCUGAGAGGAUGAUCAGCCACACUGGGACUGAGACACGGCCCAGACUCCUACGGGAGGCAGCAGUGGGGAAUAUUGGACAAUGGGGGCAACCCUGAUCCAGCAAUGCCGCGUGUGUGAAGAAGGCCUUAGGGUUGUAAAGCACUUUCAGUCGUGACGAUGAUGACGGUAACGACAGAAGAAGCCCCGGCUAACUCCGUGCCAGCAGCCGCGGUAAUACGGAGGGGGCAAGUGUUGUUCGGAAUUACUGGGCGUAAAGGGCGCGUAGGCGGCCAAGUCAGUCAGGCGUGAAAGCCCAGGGCUCAACCCUGGAAUUGCGCUUGAUACUGCUUGGCUCGAGACCGGAAGAGGGUAGUGGAAUUCCCAGUGUAGAGGUGAAAUUCGUAGAUAUUGGGAAGAAUACCAAUUGCGAAGGCAGCUUUCUGGAUCAUUACUGACACUGAGGAACGAAAGCAUGGGUAGCGAAGAGGAUUAGAUACCCUCGUAGUCCAUGCCGUAAACGAUGUGUGUUAGACGUGGAAAUUUAUUUUCUGUGUCGCAGCGAAAGCGAAAACACACCGCCGGGAGUAGACGUAA